UGUGGGCGAAGGGGUGAAAGCAAACAAAACACACUGCCAUGUGUGUACCUAUGCAACUGUAUUGCAUGCUCUGCACAUGUACCCCAAAACCUAAAAUGCAAUAAAAAAAUAAGAAUAAUAGAAAAAAAAUAGGUGCUAAAGAAAAUUCAGAAGGAAAGUGGGUUACCAGACCACAGAGAUGUUUUCCAAACCUCUCUCUCAUCUACGUCAAGGUACCUACUGGGGGCUUCAAGCCAUCUGUGAUGCAGUCCUCAGAGUUUACGGGUGCAUAGGAAAGUAUACCUUGGCCAAAAAGUUUACAGAUGGUUGCUUAGUAUGUAAAAAAAAACAAAAACAAAAACAAAAACCUAAAAACAAACUAUAAAAGGAUUACCCCUUGGGGAAGUAAUCCAGGCGUAAGGCCAUUCCAAAAUAUCCAAACUGAUUACACUGAGAUGCCUCCAAUUGGUCAUCUAAAGUAUUCAUUAGUAAUAGUAGAUCACCUUACUUAUUGAGUAAAAGCUAGUCCCUUUUCAGGUACAACUACUAAUAAUGUGUUCAAGUCAUUAGUUGAAAAUAUCAUACCUAGGUUUGGAUUAAUAGAAAACAUUGAUUUAGAAAAUGGGACUCAUUUUACUUAUAUGUCUUUAAAAAAAUUAGUCCAGGUACUGGACAUAACACGGGAAUAUCAUACUCCCUGGCACCUACCUUCAUUAGGAAGAGUGGAAAGAAUUAACCAAACUAAAAAGUCCCCUAACCAAAUUAGUCUUAGAGUCUUGGUUGCCAUGGACCAAAUGCCUUCCCAUUGCCCUGUUGAUAAUCCAAACUGCUCCUCAGAGAGGUGUUGGCUUAUCCCCUUAUGAAAUGUUGUAGAAGUUUCCCUAUUUGCACUCCACUUCUGACAUUCCCAAGUUCAAAACAAAAGAUCAGUUUCUCAGGAAUUAUAUACUUGGUUUAUCUUCCACUUUCUCUUCCCUCAGAACUAAAAGUCUUUCAGCACAGGCAUCACGUACAUCAACAUCAGCCUGGGGAUCACAUCCUCAUCAAAAGCUGUAAGGAGGAAAAGCUUAAACUGGCCUGAGAAGGAUCUUACCUAGUGCUCCUGACUACUGGAACUGCAGUCCAGUUAGCUGAAAAAUAAUGGCUCCAGAGUCAUGGGCCAUAGUCCCCAGGGAAAACCCCACCAAACUAAAGCUACAAAAAGUUUAACCCUCUUUCAUCUACUCUAUUACUCCUUCUUUCCUUGUUCUAUUGCAAUUCACCUCAUUGUUAAUGUAACCAAGUCAAUUUCAUGUCAAACUAUUACAUUUAAUGCUUGCCUUUUUAUACCCUGUGGAGACUUGUAAAGUCAAAGAUGGCUUUCCACUUCAGAAAAGUACUCUGUCCUUCCUGGCUCUCCUCAGACUGGACAUUAGUGAAUCAGGAUCAUUUAGUCUGGGGAGAUUUUGAUGAAGACCCCAGGGUCAACUGGGAGUCUUGCCCUCCUGAGGCAGAACUUCUUUGCUGUACUUGGUCCGACAUUCUGUGGACCACUAAAGAGCAAUCUCCCCACCUCCCACUAUCCCUCCCCUAGCCUCCCACACCCCCAACAGACUCCAAUGUGUGAUGUUCCCCUCCCUGUGUCCAUGUGUUCUCAUUGUUCAGCACCCGCCUGUGAGUGAGAACAUGCAGUGUUUGGUUUUCUGUUCUUGGAUCAGUUUGCUGAGAGUGAUGGUUUCCAGAUUCAUCCAUGUCCCUGCAAAGGACACGAACUCAUCCUUUUUUAUGGCUGCAUAGUAUUCCACAGUGUAUAUGUGCCACAGUUUCUUUAUCGAGUGUAUCAUCGUUGGGCAUUUGGGUUGGUUCCAGGUCUUUGCUAUUGUAAACAGUGCCACAAUGAACAUAUGUGUGCAUGUGUUUUUAUAAUCGAAUGAUUUAUAAUCCUUUAGGUAUAUUUCCAGUAAUGGGAUUGCUGGGUCAAAUAGUAUUUCUAUUUCUAGAUCCUUGAGGAAUCACCACACUGUCUCCCACAAGGGGUGAGCUGAUUUACACACCCACCAACAGUGUAAAGGCAUUCGUAUUUCUCCACAUUCUCUCCAGCAUCUGUUGUCUCCUGAUUUUUAAAUGAUCGCCAUUCUAACUGGUGUGAGGUGUUACCUCAACAUGGUUUUGAUUUGCAUUUUUCUAAUGAUCCGUGAUGAUGAGCAUUUUUUCAUAUGUUUGUUGGCAACAUAAAUGUCUUCUUUUGAAAAGUAUCUGUUCAUAUCCUUCACCCACUUUUGAUGGGUUUGUUUGUUUUUUUCUUGUAAAUUUGUUUUAUUUCUUUGUAGAUUCUGGAUAUUAGUCCUUUUGCCAGAUGGGUAGAUUGCAAAAAUUUUUUCCCAUUCUGUUGGUUGCUGGUUCACUCUAACCAUUGUUUCUCUUGCUGUACAGAAGCUCUUAAGUUUAAUUAUAUCCCAUUUGUCUCUUUUGGCUUUUGUUGCCAUUGCUUUUGGUGUUUUAGUCAUGAAAUCUUUGCCUAUGCCUAUGUCCUGAAUGAUAUUGCCUAGGUUUUCUUCUAGCAUUUUAAUGGUGUUAGGUCUUAUAUUUAAGUCUUUAAUCCAUCUGGAGUUAAUUUUUGUAUAAGGUGUCAGGAAGGGGUCCAGUUUCUGCUUUCUGCACAUGGCUAGCCAGUUUUUGCAACACCAUUUAUUAAACAGGGAAUCCUUUCCCCAUUGCUUGUUUUUGUCAGGUUUGUCAAAGAUCAGGUGGUUGUAGAUAUGUGGGGUUACCUCCAAGGCUUCUGUUUUGUUCCAUUGGUCUAUAUCUCUGUUUUGGUACCAGUACCAUGCUGUUUUGAUUACUGUAGCCUUGUAGUAUAGUUUGAAGCCCAGUGGUGUGAUGUCUCCUGCUUUGUUCUUUUUGCUUAGAAUUGACUUGGCUAUACAGGCUCUCUUUUGGUUCCAUAUGAAGUUUAAGGUGUUUUUUCCCAGUUCUGUGAAGGAGGUCUAUGGUAGCUUGAUGGCACUAGCAUUGAAUCUGUAAAUUACUUUGGACAGCAUGGUCAUUUUCAUGAUACUGGUUCUUCCUAACCAUGAGCACGGAAUGUUUCUCCAUCUCUUUGUGCCCUCUCUUAUUUCGUUGAGCAGUGGUUUGUAGUUCUCUUUGAAGAGGUCCUUUACAUCCUUUGUUUGUUGUAUUCCUAGGUAUUUGAUUCUCUUUUUGGCUGUUGUGAAUGGGACUUUGCUCAUGAUAUGGCUCUCCUUCUAUUAUUAUAGUAUAGGAAUGUUUGUGACUUUUGCACAUUGAUUUUGUAUCCUAAGACUUUGCUGAAGUUGUUUAUCAUCUUAAGGAGAUUUUCUGCUGAGACGAUGGGAUCUUCUAAAUAUGCAAUCAUGUCAUCUGCAAAUAGAGACAGUUUGAUUUCCUCUUUUCCUAGUUGAAUACCCUUUAUUUCUUUUUCUUGCCUGAUGGCUCUUGCUAGGUUUUAGCUUUCUUACAUUGCUGUAUCACUUGCACCUGUCCAUGUGGUUUUUAUAUUUCAACGUUUUGUUAUAUGUCUCAUCUGGUGUUAUUCUCUCUCACUGUUUCUAUCUUUGUGGGUUUUUACCUUUAAAAAUGUUAUCUGUGUGGAAGUGGAGAGAUAUGUGUAUGCUUCAACAUAUUCAGGUUGGAAGUCUUCUCUUUCCUUAUUAUUCCUGAGGUCUUUCUGAUUUAUGUACUGGAUUGAUCCCUGAACAAUUUGUCAGACAGAUAUUGGAGUUGAAUGAUAAUUUUCCACAAAAUGAUGCCACUCACUCCAUGUUCCUUUCAACAACACUAACACUCAUCUAGUAUGUGCUAGAUAUUGGGCUAAACCAUUUAAACCCAUCACAACCUUACAGGGUAGAACUAUUAUGCUUAUUGCACACAUGAGGAAAAUAAAGCUUAGAGAGUGUCAACAGUAUACUCAGUGUCAUACAGCUCACAAGUGGAGGAAACUUGAUUUGAACCAGGGAACUUAGCUCUAGAUCUCAGUCCAUGCGGGAUGCAGCUCUCCAAUUCUCCAAAAGGCUAACAUUAGUGAUAUUGAAUCCUGAUGAGAAACAAAAAUUAGGGCAAAGUAUAAAACUUCCAAAUUUUUGGCUCUUGUCACCUUUGCUAUGGAUAGGUUUUCUUUUUCAGAAGUCAAAAUACUUUGUGCUGGCACAAUGGCUGUCCUGUCAAUAAAGAUCUUUUGAAAUGAGCUAUAGAGCUUCCAGUUUUGAUAAUGGUGGCCCGGAAUUUGGAAUGAUGCUGCCGAUGAAGAAGACUAAAACUACCAUACAAAAUAUCUGCUUGAAGAAAUUAUAUUGUUUAUAAGACAGAAAAAACAUUAGCCCAAUCCACACAGCAAUUGAAAGGUUCAGAGCAGCCUAAACUGAGAGAUCCUGAGCUCACAGACUCCUUGCUUUAUUCUUGUUUUAGAUAGCAACUCAUGUCUUCAGAAUACAUCAGCAUCCUGUUGUUAAGGACAUAGAAAAGAAAAAGAUGGGAAGGCUUGUCUCCCUCAUCUGUCACAUGAGUUCUCUGUUCCGUGCUUUGGCUACAUGGUGUUGGCUACUGAAGAGACCGUCUGCACCUAUAUAGACAGCGUUUCAUCAUGUUGGCCAGGCUGGUCUCAAACUUCCGAUCUCAGGUGAUCCACCUGCCUCAGCCUCCCAAAGUGCUGGGAUUACAGGUUUGAAGCAACUGACAAAGAGAAGUGGCCAAGCUGUGGUCCAUCCGGCGUCAGUCUAUGCCUGAACACAUGCAUAGCUUACCAACCUCCAACGGCUUCACCAGCCCUCUGCUUGCAAGGCUGAAGACCUCAGGCAGUCUUUACAAGUUGGUUGUCUUGUAACACCCAUGAGAAAGCUGGUCCUAUCUCGGCAACCCUGUUGAGCCCGUUAGCUGUUCCGCAGAACCACUGCCCUUGAUAUCCUCUACAGUGAAGCUUUCCAUCGAGGCUUUUGCAUCUUAAAGCCCUGCCAGCUUGUAGGCUACUUGAUGCAUCUGUCAAAAGGCAACAGCCUUCCUGAGCUACUCUUGGUGGACUAUUAUCUUUUUUAGACUUAGGAAAGUCUUUGUGCUUCUUAACUUUGGCCUAGCCCAGGGAUUAAGGACUACUCUUAAGGACUCCCUGUCAGCUUGUUUAGCUUUGGGCUGAUUCAGAUGGACCAGCGAGACAGUGAAGGGUUGGAAGGGCUGACAGAGCUGAAGGCAGAGGACCAGUGUGGAAGAGAGACGGCGGCGUGGGCAAAUAAAACCACGAAGGCUUGGUGUCUGUCUCCUCAAGGAAUUUGUUAGAGAUACAACUUUGGGAUCCUCAUUUCUUUCUGAAGCCUCCUUAUAUCACAUUGUGCUAACCAGCAGCUGUCAGAGAUCCUGGGCCCCUUUGGUUCUAUAGUGCCUCUUAAGCAGAUUCAAAAUUUUUCUCAAGUGGCCACAGAAGUUCUAAAUUAUUCACUGUGAAAUUAUGUUAUUCCUAAAGAUGACACAAGACUCAGGACUAUUAUGAGAAAUGUGUCACGAGCCAGUGUCCCACCCACCAGGGGUCGACAUCAACUUCAAAUCACUCCCCUGAUAAACAAGCCAUCUGAGUGUCACAGAUGUUGAUUCUUUACCUGUACCCCAGGCUCCUCGGUGGAGAUGAUUUAGCCCUUCCUGUCUGUAACCUGGCAGUCGGCGACUCAGGGCAGAAUUCCAGGGAGCAGAUCUCUCCGAGAGCAAAAGCCUCAGGCAGGAGACCAGGUGGAGACACAGGGCGGUAAAGCUUUCACAGGUGACUGCCUGCAUUUGUCUCAGGAAGGGUCCUGGUCUAAUGAGAAUGUUUGCUCCUCAUUCCUCAGGAGCAGAUAGAGACUUGUUGGACUCGUGUCUGCCUGUCAUUCUAGGAAUUUCUGUUAUAAACAAACGUCAUCUACGAUGUGCACAGGGAGACAGGGACAUUAAUAAAAUAAAAGCAAACCAAAAACUUUGGCAUAUUUUCACCAAGGGAUACAAACAUAAACUUGAUCAAAUUAACAAUAUUCAAGAGGCUAAAACAGGUCCCCACACAGGGCCAAAAUCCUGGGAUGCAAAAUAAACUCAAUGAGGAAAGUGAAUACAGUGGGCGUGGAGUGGGGCUGGGGAGGCUUCCUCACCGUGGCGGGCCACACCUCCUGUCAGGGACUCCAGGCCCCUCUGCACUGUUAGGAACCAGCUUUUACUACUUCUUACUCUGGGGCAUUUCUCCUAGCUGGUUUCAGUGCUCAUGGUGGGGGCAUGUGGUUGCACUGUCCUAGAGAAAAAUAACCAUCCAUUCGUUCAUGCAUUCUUCAUAGGGAGAAUGCUGUGUGCUAUGCGUGGGGGAUGCCAUGAAGCAAGCGGCUCUUAGUCAUCAGCCUGCAACCUAACCACCGGGACAGCUACAACCUGGAUUCUGUAGGUCUGGGGUUAGGGCUGAGAAAUAUUGAUUCUAGCAAUCUCCCAGGCGACUUUUGCUCCAGGUCUGGGGUCCACACUUUGAGAAUCACUGUAAUGGAGAAUAAAAUACUCCACAGAGAUGAUAGGUCAGGGCUGGUGAGGAGAGCUGCUCUUCACACCCAUUCGGUUGUUCAGGCUUCCACCGGUAGGCUCUGUCCACUUCAGGAGGCCCCGGGAAAGUUUAUCUGGUGCCAGUUCUGUAAUGAGUCAGGGAUGGAAGCAUGUGGUUAUUAGAGCAGUGCAUCUAACUCCAGUGAUGUCUUCAUAUCCUACAUUACGGCAGGCCCUUGCUCUCAUCCUUCCCCCACCCCAGCAGCCUCCUAAGGGGCCCUUCCCCUAAAUCCAGCCCCCUCCUCUGGCAUUUCCUCAAAGGUAGCAUACAGUAAGUCUUCGUGUUGCAUACACUGUCUGCACUCCCAAGCUGGUAUUUCUCACUUUUAUCUCUAGGAGGUGAAAGGUCAGUUUUGGCAUCAUGCGGUCCCAAGCGUGAAUCCUGACUUUCCUUCACUGGCUGCAUGAUUUUGAGAAAACCAACUGUUUACAUUCCCUUCUGAAUAAUGAGAAUAAUCACACCUACCUCAUAAAGCUGUUGUGAGAAUUAAAUAAAAUAAUGCCUAAUGGUUCA